AACUUGAGAAAGUAGAAGCCAUUAAAAAAUUAGAGAAUACUUUACUUAAAUACAUAAAAACGUCAGAUGGAAAUAAAAAUAAUUCUUUAAAAAAUAUAUUGUUCAUGAAGAUAUGGCUAAGUGCGACAAAGAUGAGACUGACUGUGAGAGGAUAAUGAUGAAAAUGAACGAUGAAUUAGAAAAAUUGGUGUGUGUAGAAAAUAAUUGUUCUGAUGAAAAGGAAGCAAUUCCGUCUAUGUCUUCAGCUUUAAAUUUAAUUGAAAUAGAAGAUCCUUCAAGUUGGCCUAAAACUAUAGACAAAAUAAGGAUUGCU
rnacentral:lncRNA from 1 species